rnacentral:rRNA from 1 species
AUUGAACGCUGGCGGCAGGCCUAACACAUGCAAGUCGAGCGGAAACGAGUUAUCUGAACCUUCGGGGGACGAUAACGGCGUCGAGCGGCGGACGGGUGAGUAAUGCCUAGGAAAUUGCCCUGGUGUGGGGGAUAACCAUUGGAAACGAUGGCUAAUACCGCAUAAUACCUUCGGGUCAAAGAGGGGGACCUUCGGGCCUCUCGCGUCAGGAUAUGCCUAGGUGGGAUUAGCUAGUUGGUGAGGUAAUGGCUCACCAAGGCGACGAUCCCUAGCUGGUCUGAGAGGAUGAUCAGCCACACUGGAACUGAGACACGGUCCAGACUCCUACGGGAGGCAGCAGUGGGGAAUAUUGCACAAUGGGCGCAAGCCUGAUGCAGCCAUGCCGCGUGUGUGAAGAAGGCCUUCGGGUUGUAAAGCACUUUCAGUCGUGAGGAAGGUAGUGUAGUUAAUAGCUGCAUUAUUUGACGUUAGCGACAGAAGAAGCACCGGCUAACUCCGUGCCAGCAGCCGCGGUAAUACGGAGGGUGCGAGCGUUAAUCGGAAUUACUGGGCGUAAAGCGCAUGCAGGUGGUUUGUUAAGUCAGAUGUGAAAGCCCGGGGCUCAACCUCGGAAUAGCAUUUGAAACUGGCAGACUAGAGUACUGUAGAGGGGGGUAGAAUUUCAGGUGUAGCGGUGAAAUGCGUAGAGAUCUGAAGGAAUACCGGUGGCGAAGGCGGCCCCCUGGACAGAUACUGACACUCGUGCGAAAGCGUGGGGAGCAAACAGG